rnacentral:rRNA from 1 species
AACACGACUCUCGACAAUGGAUAUCUUGGCUCUUGCAUCGAUGAAGAGCGCAGCGAAAUGCGAUACGUGGUGUGAAUUGCAGAAUCCCGCGAACCAUCGAGUUUUUGAACGCAAGUUGCGCCUGAGGCCAAUCGGCUAAGGGCACGUCCGCUUGGGCGUCAAGC